AUUGAACGCUGGCGGCAGGCUUAACACAUGCAAGUCGAACGGAGUGGCGGACGGGUGAGUAAUGCUUGGGAAUCUAGCUUAUGGAGGGGGAUAACUACGGGAAACUGUAGCUAAUACCGCAUACUAUCAGAUGAGCCUAGGUCGGAUUAGCUAGUUGGUGGGGUAAAGGCCUACCAAGGCGACGAUCCGUAACUGGUCUGAGAGGAUGAUGAGUCACGCUGGAACUGAGACACGGUCCAGACUCAUACGAGAGGCAGCAGUGGGGAAUAUUGGACAAUGGGCGAAAGCCUGAUCCAGCCAUGCCGCGUGUGUGAAGAAGGUCUUCGGGUUGUAAAGUUCUUUCGGUAGCGAGGCGUUAACUACAGAAGAAGCACCGGCUAACUCCGUGCCAGCAGCCGCGGUAAUAC
rnacentral:rRNA from 1 species